CAUUGCACAGGUACUGAGCGUCCAUUGCAGACAUACAGAAGGUUUCCUAUCUAAGUGACCUUUCAGUACCUGGGUUUCCGAAUUUUUGUACAAGUUAUCUCACCAUAAGGCCACACUGAUUGUUCAUCAGAAAGCCUCUGUGUUAUAUAGGAGUUUCCAUCAUGCACGUAUGAACAAGUUUUUUCGUAUUAUACUUUUUGUAUAAACAACUAUACGUCCCAGUCGCUUGAGAUACACCCCUGAUGAAGUCUUUUGUAUAAGAUGAAACGCGUUGGGUUGUCUGUGUUGUGACGUUAUCUCCGAACCAACUUUAAGGAGGAGAUUGUUGUGAUCCUUCAACAUUUGUAUUCAGCGCUAAGAGUCAUACAACUUUAAGUGUGGAAUAAUACAUCUCCUCUGUACUAAUUUGAAUAUGUUUUUAAUAAAUGUUUUAUGAUGGAA